GGCGGCGACGCGAGGGGCUGCGGGGCGGCGCGCGUGCUCCGCUCGGCCUUCGGGCCGACGGGGGGUCAGCACAGGUGGAUCUGCCGUCUGCCACAGCCCCGCAGCCGCGCCCCACCGCCGUAACGCGGCUCGUUGCGGUAAGUGAAGACCACAGGUGUAGCGUGGGCAGCGCUCGCUCGAACCUUCUCCUCAGGCCGGAGCCCCGCGCUUGGCUCGCCCCUCAGGGAGCAGCGCUUCACGCGCACCACAAGCGCCCCGUCCGCCUCUCACGUUCCUGUUUGGAUAUCGCAAAUGGGAAACGUUUUGUCAGACUGUGCUUCGUGGGAUGGGGAAUUCAAGUCUGGUUCUAUCCCCUGAUAGCAUCGCAGAACCACCUGAGGUGGAAGGGACCCUUUAAAGGCCAUGCAGGCCACUGCCGAUCAGGGGAGAGGGAAAGAAAGAUCCUCCAGCAAAACACUCGUUAGAAAGAAUUCCUCUUUCAUGGAAGCUGCAGUAGAUAACUGGAUUAAAGACCUGCAGGAAAUGGAAAAUGCAUUGCUCUGAGAUCAUAAAUGGACUUAUCAGAACAGCUGGACUCUAUUUACCACUUCAUCACAAGUUUGUGGACCUCCCAGGCACACCAAUUACUUCACAUCAGCUCUGAAUACCCACGACCGUUUGAUGUCCCACAUGAAGAGGUAAUAUUCUGCACGAUUCAGUACUCCUGAUGCUGUAAUUUCUUAACAGCAGCAGUUCCAGAACACCAGAAGUGCUGUAGGAGAACUGCUGUGAAGGUUAAACUAUGGCUUCAUACUCACGUUCACCACUGGCUGCUGGCAUAGGAGAAUGAACAAAUGGGAAUAAGUUAUUUUUUGAAGCUAGCUGCUGCAAUGGAAGAAUCGUACUGAACUGUGCCCCAACCAAGGCUGUGGGAGAGAGAAACACUUGCUAGGCAUGGCAAAUCUGAUUCUAGAAAAUUGCAUUUAUAAGCAAAAGAAGUUGUAGGAACCAGCAGCGAAGCGUACAAGAUGACCCCAGACAUGAGAUAGAACAGUUCCAUUUUUGAAGUACAUUUAAAAGAAAAGUUUGCCACCAGCAAUUGGAGAGCUUAUUGUUUUCAAAAGAUUAACAAACUUAUUUUCCUACAACUUAAAGAUUGAAAAUCCGAAUUGUAAAUUCUGCGGAUGCUGCAAGGAACAUGGAGUGAUCAAUCUUCAUGAUCCGUUCCGUGGCGAGCUGGGAAAAAAAAAUGCAGUUGCUAAUCAAUGUCCGAACAGUCUGAAGCUCCGGAAGAGAUCCAAGGAGUCACUAUCAAACUAUCCUGUAGCAUGAGAUCAUUGCACACAGAAGAACAGUCAUAAAA